rnacentral:rRNA from 1 species
ACUCCUACGGGAGGCAGCAGUAAGGAAUAUUGCGCAAUGGGCGACAGCCUGACGCAGCGACGCCGCGUGGGGGAUGAAGGUCUUCGGAUUGUAAACCCCUUUCGGCGGGGAAGAUGGAACGGGCAACCGUUCGGACGGUACCUGCAGAAGCAGCCACGGCUAACUUCGUGCCAGCAGCCGCGGUAAUACGAAGGUGGCAAGCGUUGUUCGGAUUCACUGGGCGUACAGGGAGCGUAGGCGGUUAGGUAAGCCCUCCGUGAAAUCUCCGGGCCUAACCCGGAAAGUGCAGAGGGGACUGCUUGGCUAGAGGAUGGGAGAGGAGCGCGGAAUUCCCG